rnacentral:lncRNA from 1 species
AGAACAAAAGUAAGAAGGAAAAGGAGAAGAAAAGAGACAAAGAGGGAGAGAAGAAGCCAAUAGCUCUUGUGGCCUCUAGCUCUAAGUCCUCACGAAAAGAGCAAAGCGACAAUGAUUCAAGUAGUGACAAAGAUUCGGAUGAUGAGGAAAUGGGACUGUUUGUAAGGAGAUAUAAUAGAUUCAUUCGAAAGAACGGAGUCAAGCAUUCCGACAAAAAUCUCAUGAAGUUUCGAAGACAAUCUACAGAUUCAAAACAGGAAGAGAAUAAGAAGAGUAGAGGAAG